GACGGCGUACCUUUUGUAUAAUGGGUCAGCGACUUAUAUUCUGUAGCAAGGUUAACCGAAUAGGGGAGCCGUAGGGAAACCGAGUCUUAAUAGGGCGUCUAGUUGCAGGGUAUAGACCCGAAACCGAGUGAUCUAUCCAUGAGCAGGUUGAAAGUGACGUAACAGUUACCGGAGGACCGAACCCACUGUCGUUGAAAAGCCAGGGGAUGACUUGUGGAUAGGGGUGAAAGGCUAAUCAAACUCGGUGAUAGCUGGUUCUCCCCGAAAGCUAUUUAGGUAGCGCCUCGGACGAACACCAUUGGGGGUAGAGCACUGUUUCGGCUAGGGGGUCAUCCCGACUUACCAAACCGAUGCAAACUCCGAAUACCGAUGAGUGAUAUCCGGGAGACAGACGGCGGGUGCUAACGUCCGUCGUCAAGAGGGAAACAACCCAGACCGCCAGCUAAGGCCCCAAAUUCCUAGUUAAGUGGGAAACGAUGUGGGAAGGCACAGACAGCUAGGAGGUUGGCUUAGAAGCAGCCACCCUUUAAAGA
rnacentral:rRNA from 1 species